rnacentral:rRNA from 1 species
AACAGGAUUAGAUACCCUGGUAGUCCACGCCGUAAACGAUGUCGACUUGGAGGUUGUGCCCUUGAGGCGUGGCUUCCGGAGCUAACGCGUUAAGUCGACCGCCUGGGGAGUACGGCCGCAAGGUUAAAACUCAAAUGAAUUGACGGGGGCCCGCACAAGCGGUGGAGCAUGUGGUUUAAUUCGAUGCAACGCGAAGAACCUUACCUACUCUUGACAUCCAGAGAACUUUCCAGAGAUGGAUUGGUGCCUUCGGGAACUCUGAGACAGGUGCUGCAUGGCUGUCGUCAGCUCGUGUUGUGAAAUGUUGGGUUAAGUCCCGCAACGAGCGCAACCCUUAUCCUUUGUUGCCAGCGGUCCGGCCGGGAACUCAAAGGAGACUGCCAGUGAUAAACUGGAGGAAGGUGGGGAUGACGUCAAGUCAUCAUGGCCCUUACGAGUAGGGCUACACACGUGCUACAAUGGCGCAUACAAAGAGAAGCGACCUCGCGAGAGCAAGCGGACCUCAUAAAGUGCGUCGUAGUCCGGAUUGGAGUCUGCAACUCGACUCCAUGAAGUCGGAAUCGCUAGUAAUCGUGGAUCAGAAUGCCACGGUGAAUACGUUCCCGGGCCUUGUACACACCGCCCGUCACACCAUGGGAGUGGGUUGCAAAAGAAGUUGGUAGCUUAACCUUCGGGAGGGCGCUUACCACUUUGUGAUUCAUGACUGGGGUGAAGUCGUAACAAGGUAACC